UACGUAGGGUGCAAGCGUUGUCCGGAAUUAUUGGGCGUAAAGAGCUCGUAGGCGGUUCGGUAAGUCGGGUGUGAAAACUCUGGGCUCAACCCAGAGCCGCCACCCGAUACUGCUGUGACUUGAGUUCGGUAGGGGAGCGGGGAAUUCCUGGUGUAGCGGUGAAAUGCGCAGAUAUCAGGAGGAACACCAGUGGCGAAGGCGCCGCUCUGGGCCGAGACUGACGCUGAGGAGCGAAAGCGUGGGUAGCAAACAGG
rnacentral:rRNA from 1 species